rnacentral:rRNA from 1 species
AUUGAACGCUGGCGGCAGGCCUAACACAUGCAAGUCGAGCGAGCGGCGGACGGGUGAGUAAUGUCUGGGAAACUGCCUGAUGGAGGGGGAUAACUACUGGAAACGGUAGCUAAUACCGCAUACCAUCGGAUGUGCCCAGAUGGGAUUAGCUAGUAGGUGGGGUAACGGCUCACCUAGGCGACGAUCCCUAGCUGGUCUGAGAGGAUGACCAGCCACACUGGAACUGGGACACGGUCCCAACUCCUACGGGGGGCAGCAGUGGGGAAUAUUGGACAAUGGGCGCAAGCCUGAUGCAGCCAUGCCGCGGGUAUGAAGAAGGCCUUCGGGUUGUUAAGUACUUUCAGCGGAGAAGCGUUACCCGCAGAAGAAGCACCGGCUAACUACGUUGCAACAGCCGCGGUAAUAC